UGUAAGUGAGCCUGGUUUCGACUAUCAACCAGCAUUAUAACUUAUAAAAGAGGUUUAAAAUAUAUUUACAUAUUUUAAUAAAUAAGUAUUAUUUUUAUUAUUUUAAUAAACAAUUAAUUAAUUAAUUAAUUAAUUAUGUAAAUGGAGACAGGACUAUAUAUAUAUAUAUAUAUAUAUAUAUAUAUAUAUAUAUAUAUAUAUAAAACAAACAAUCAAUAAAUUAAAAAAUCCACAAAGACCUCAAAAAGACUUUAAUUUUUAUUAAACCUGAUAAAUUCUGGAGAGUGGCAACUGCAGUCAAUACUAUGUAAAUAUUAUGUAUGUACGUUCCUGUGUGGACAAGGGAACUGAAUCUGUCACACUUGCUGUCACUUCUUGCUGCUCCACCUCCAAUCCACCUCCCGUUCGAUUUCUAUAAAUCUCCACGUGACCAUAAAGAUCUAAGGUCUAUGACAGGAAGAACUUGAUUCCUCUGGGCUACAGAGUCCACAAAGGUGUGCCAUCUCUGUAAAUCACAAAAAAAGAUAAGACAAAAGGUUAAUCAAACAGAACAAUGGAGCCCCAAGAAGACUGGAAUACAUCAGAGAAAUCCAAGCUAUUGCAGCCUGGGCCGCAACCAUACCAGGACCAUCUUAGACAGCCUCCUCCAGGGAACUUUCAGAGCACUUCUGGCUAUCAAGGCCAACAGUAUGGAGCUCCAGGGCCGUACGGCCAAGGAGCAUAUCCAGGCCAUCCUGUGGUCACCGUGCAGCCUGCAGUUUAUGUGACCGCCACUCCACUGGUGUAUCCAGAGCCAGAUUACCUGGGCUACUCCAUCUUUACCAUGCUGUGCUGCUGCUUACCUCUGGGCAUCGCUGCACUGGUUUUCUCUAUCAACACUCGGAAUGCCAACAUGUCUGGACAACAACAAUUAGCAAAGAGAAACUCCAAAAUGGCGUUCACUCUUAACAAUACUGCUCUUGGUAUUGGCAUUGUCAUCGCUGUGCUGUAUAUCACUCUCAUCAUUGUCAACAAUAAAAACCAAACAGAUCCAUAAUUGUUUGAGACAUAAUAGUUGGACACCUGGAAUGGGACUAUCCAAAAAAUAGCAUUGCAUAAUGACACAAGUAUAAUUUUUAAUGAAUUAGUAUUUUCAUCUGAAUGACUGUGUCUGUUUGAUCUGUCUGGCUCAUCUCUAGUGAAAAUUUAUGUUACUAAAACUUGCUUUAAAGUUGAUUGUUAUAUGUUUCAAAACCAAGUAAACUGUGACUAUCAAUGUAGAAGUAUUGAUGUUUUUUUUUCUUCCUCUCUACCUGAUUAUGUAUUUAAUUAAAACUUUAAAUGACCAGUAAUACAUGCCCCAUUUCUUUUUUAUAACCAUUUAUGUUCUCAACUGAGCACUCUCCAUUCAUAUUUAUAUCAAAAACGAAAACUGAAUUAAUCUGCCUCACUUAUUGAACCGCAACACUCUGAGGUGGGCCCAGCUGUGCUUUCAUCAAUCCAAUUGGCUGUAGUCCUGCUUGAUGUCAAAGGGAUACCACUCUUUCUACACUCUACACAACAGAGUCAAAUUAUCUCCAGUCACACUGAUGUGUUGUGUAUAGGCAGUUUUUUUUUUUUUUUUGAUGAUGAUGAUGAUGAUGAUGAAAAAUAUCUGGAUGUUUCUGGCUGUCCAGAAAUACGGAGCUCCAUGUGGUCAGUAGUUUUUCUGUGGGCUUUGCUGCUCUUGCUUAUACUCUGUAAGUAUUAGUAUUAAUGUUUUUUUUUUUUUUUUUUUUUUUUUUUUCACAUAGACAAUAAAAUAAACUUUUAAAUAUGAUAGCCA
ensembl:lncRNA